CCCCAGGCCGUAGUAUACGCUGAUUGGAAGGCUCAGUGCCUUACAUCACACCCCCCAGGCACUUUUCUUGCACGUUUCUCUUUAAUUUGCUUUAUUUUCAGUCGGAUCUUCGCUCUGUUUGCCGGUUUAUGUCGGAGCGGGUGCCGGCCCGCCGCUCUCUGUACAUUCCUUGUGCCAAACUAAUAAAGUGUAACACAUCA